GAGGAGGUAGCCAACACUGUUUUUUAUGGUUUUUUUUUUUAUUGUGGCAGCCCCCAAAAUAUUGGGACAUAUAAAAAAGACAACUCUGUUCCGCAGAGUAGCUGUUGACAUUAUAGUUGCGCAGGCACUUUGUUGACUCUAGAGAACCUCGGGCCAAUCGCACAUCCCUGUGAUGGCGACUUUGCAUUCGGAUGUCAUCCAUAUCAACUUUCAAUGCCAGUUUCUACACCUACCAUGGUGACCACGGGUAACGGGGAAUCAGGGUUCCAUUCCGUACAGGGACCCUGAGAAAUGGCUACCACAUGCAAGGAAGGCAGCAGGCGCGCAAAUGACCCACUCUCAACGCGGGAAGGUAGUGAC
rnacentral:rRNA from 1 species